rnacentral:ribozyme from 15 species
AGAAAAUAGGAGAACGAAGAAAGGAAAACCAAUACUCCUUUCAUUUUUUUGUAUUUCCUUUUUUUUCUUUUUCUUUUCCCUUAAAAAAAAAUCUCCAGUCUUCUAAGGAAAAAAAUGAAGAUAUGAAUAAAAGAUGGAAGCAAAGAAUGAGAAAAUAAGACAA